rnacentral:rRNA from 1 species
UGGGGAAUCCUGGUCAAUGGGCGAAAGCCUGAACCUGCGACGCCGCGUGAGUGAUGAAGGUCGUAAGAUCGUAAAACUCUUUUCAGGGAUCUUAACGCACAGCUGUCAACAACAGCUGUGUCUGACUCUCCCUGGAAGAAGCCCCAGCCAACUACGUGCCAGCAGCUGCGGUAAUACGUAGGGGGCGAGCGUUAUUCGGAAUUACUGGGUGUAAAGGGUAUGUAGGCGGCCCUUCAAGUCGCGUGUCAAAGUCCAGUGCUCAACGCUGGGUGUGCGCGCGAUACUGACGGGCUUGAGGGCUGGAGAGGUGAGCGGAAUUCCCGGUGUAGCGGUGAAAUGCGUAGAGAUGUGGAGGAAUACCAGUGGCGAAGGCGGCCACCUGGACAGUAACUGACGCUGAGGCGCGAAAGUGUGGGGAGCAAACA